rnacentral:rRNA from 1 species
UACGUAGGGUGCAAGCGUUAUCCGGAAUUAUUGGGCGUAAAGAGCUCGUAGGCGGUUUGUCGCGUCUGCUGUGAAAACCCGAGGCUCAACCUCGGGCCUGCAGUGGGUACGGGCAGACUAGAGUGCGGUAGGGGAGAUUGGAAUUCCUGGUGUAGCGGUGGAAUGCGCAGAUAUCAGGAGGAACACCGAUGGCGAAGGCAGAUCUCUGGGCCUUACCUGACGCUGAGGCGCGAAAGCUAGGGGAGCGAACAGG